rnacentral:lncRNA from 1 species
AAGACUAAGGAUGUUCUCUGACAGCAGCUGCAUCCAUGUUAAUGUGAUACUUAAAUGUUCCCUAAAGAGUUAAACAUGUACCCUAAUUCUCUACAAGAUACAAUGCAUCUUAUGGUUGUGUCAAACAUUCUGAUGAUUACUGUGAUGAUCACAAAGUGAAAAAGUUCAUCGGGAUAUUAAAGCAGCAGCUACAGUUCUAAAGAAUAUGUGUUAAUUUCAUCUGUAAGCACCAGCUUUCAAGCCACUUAGCAAAUCUUUUUUGUGGCGAAAUCCUGUACUAUUUAUAGCAUUUCUACUUUGAGAAGCAUUUUAUUUUUUAGGAAUGAAUUUUUAAUGUCUU